rnacentral:rRNA from 1 species
UACGGAGGGGGCUAGCGUUGUUCGGAAUUACUGGGCGUAAAGCGCACGUAGGCGGCUUUGUAAGUUAGAGGUGAAAGCCCGGGGCUCAACUCCGGAAUUGCCUUUAAGACUGCAUCGCUAGAACGUCGGAGAGGUAAGUGGAAUUCCGAGUGUAGAGGUGAAAUUCGUAGAUAUUCGGAAGAACACCAGUGGCGAAGGCGGCUCACUGGACAUGUAUUGACGCUGAGGUGCGAAAGCGUGGGGAGCAAACAGG